ensembl:lncRNA
UGUCGAGCUAACGUUUGAAGAGAGAGUCUCCCUUCUCUAUUUACUGUGGAGAGCAGAGCAGCGGCGUUAAGGACGUCCUCGCCGUACCUGGGUCCAUCAGGUCCUCCAGAGGCGUGAGCAGUUUGGUGAGUUUCACCACUUGCUCGAGGAGCAGCGCCUGGAUGACGGCCGAUUUCAGCGAUAUCACCGUCUUUCACUCGCCCAGUUUGAGGACCUGCUGUCCCGCGUCGGUCCCAGAAUCGCCCGCCUAGAUACCAACUACAGGCGCUCAAUCCCACCUGCAGAGCGAGCGCCUGUCCAUCUGCCUGAGGUUCCUUGCCACCGGGGACUCCUUCAGGACCAUUGCGUUCAGUUUUAGAGUCGGUGUGUCCACGGUGUGCCAGAUCACCCCCCAGGUAGCGACGGCCAUCUGGGACUGUCUAGUGGACGACUUCAUGGCUGUGCCUUCACCUGGAGACUGGCGGUCCAUCACAGAGGGAUUCCAGGAGUGCUGGAACUUUCCUCUCUGCUGUGGAGCUCUGGAUGGGAAACACGUCCAGACAAAGGCACCCCAUAUAUCACAUAGGAGACACACACAUUGAUAUACACGAAAUAUUUAUUCCAUUUCUUUUUUUGUGGUGCCCAAAUUUAUGCACCUGCUUGAUUUUGUUUAAACAAUUAUUGCACACUUUUUGUAAAUCCAGUAAACUUCUUUUCACUUCUCAAAUAUCACUGUGUGUGUCUCCUGUAUGAUAUAUUUAACUGACAUUUUUUAUUGUAACAACCAACGAUUUAUACAGGAAAAUAAUGGCUAUUAACAAGGUUGCCCAAACUUUUGCAUCCCACUGUAUUAGUAUAUUCUGUCAUUAGUAUAAUAUGAAAUAAAUUCUACAUGUGUCAAGUCGUGUGCCAACAUUUGCUGUGUAGUAGAACUGAGACAUUAGUCAUUAUAAAAAUUUAUUUGAAAUAAUAUUAAAAUUCUCAAACAGAAAAACAUUAAACAUAAAUAUAUAGAAUAUAAGUAUUAACAGAGAGACAGGAAUAAAAAGGACCCAGCUGCUCUCCAGAGCAGGAACAAGGCUGAGGAGGAAAUGCUCCAUUGGAGACUGGCGUGGCCUCUUCAGGGACACCAGGAUGGCCAGCUCCACCGCCGAUGGACCGUCCUGGGACCAG